ACUCAAAGGAAUUGACGGGGGCCCGCACAAGCGGAGGAACAUGUGGUUUAAUUCGAUGAUACGCGAGGAACCUUACCCGGGCUUGAAAUGUACCUGACAGGAGGCCGAGACGCCUCCCUCCCUCGGGCAGGUACGUAGGUGCUGCAUGGUUGUCGUCAGCUCGUGCCGUGAGGUGUCGGCUCAAGUGCCAUAACGAGCGCAACCCCUUCUGCCGGUUACCAUCGCUUCGGGCGGGGACUCCGGCAGUACUGCCGCCGCAAGGCGCGAGGAAGGUGGGGAUGACGUCAAAUCAGCACGGCCCUUACGUCCGGGGCCACACACGUGUUACAAUGGGGGGCACAGAAGGCUGGGUCCUGGCGACAGGUCCCGAAUCGAGAAAUCCCCUCCCAGUUCGGACUGGAGUCUGCAACCCGACUCCACGAAGCUGGAUUCGCUAGUAAUCGCGCAUCAGCCAUGGCGCGGUGAAUACGUUCCCGGGCCUUGUACACACCGCCCGU
rnacentral:rRNA from 1 species